rnacentral:rRNA from 1 species
AUACGGAGGGUGCAAGCGUUAAUCGGAAUUACUGGGCGUAAAGCGCGCGUAGGCGGUUUAGUAAGUCGGAUGUGAAAGCCCUGGGCUCAACCUGGGAAUUGCAUUCGAUACUGCAGAGCUAGAGUAUGGUAGAGGGAAGUGGAAUUUCCGGUGUAGCGGUGAAAUGCGUAGAUAUCGGAAGGAACACCAGUGGCGAAGGCGACUUCCUGGGCCAAUACUGACGCUGAGGUGCGAAAGCGUGGGGAGCAAACAGGAUUAGAAACCCCGGUAGUCC